rnacentral:lncRNA from 1 species
CCGAGUAAUAUUCAUCGAGUGCGUGACCAAAAAGCUCGAACCAGUCGUCAAUCGUCUCAACAACAACCGUAUCCACGACUCCCACCGUUCCAAUAAUUUUGCCGCAUCGCCCUUCAAAUCCGAGACCUCGUCCGUAGGAUCGUCGUUGACCUCGCAACUUCAGCUCGAGUUAAUUAUGGACGAUAAAUAAUCGCGUGAUGCGGAAAAGAUGACCCAAGUCGACCCCAAGCGCGGGCUAAUCUGCAAGCUGAAGCUGAUGAAUCAAUCUGAAGAUGGUUAAAUCAAACAAGUGCUCGGUCGAAGAAUACUCGUCAAGCGGACAUCACCUAACAACACUAACCUAGUGUUACUCAGGCAAGCCCCGGUGCAUGCAACCCCUUUCCUUGUGUUUUUAAAUAAUUUUCGCC